AAUCUGCACGCGCGCACGCACACACACACACACAGGCACACCCUCCUGUGCCACCCCUUCCUCUCCGCUACACUUUAAGCAAGUAACCGUCACAAGCGACAAAAGUUUCCUCCAUACUUUUGUUGUUUUGUUUUGUUGUUUUGUUGUUUUUCCUUUCGCGCGCGUGUGUGUUUGUUCUUUGUUCUUCUCGCUAUUCUUGCGUCCUUUCACCUGACUCGCUGACCCUCCUCCGAUACCUUCCUUUGCCUUCGCCCUUUUGUUUCGCUUUCGACACCCUUCAUCAGCUACUCUACAGCCCCCCCCCCCCCACACACACACACGCACACAUCACUCAUCACACCGCCUCCUGCACGUUCGCGGUCUUUGCGCUGCUUCUCUCCCUUUCUUAACGGCCCCGAUCGUACACUGACGCUUUCCGAAAGAAAAAAGAAGCAGAAAAGGAGAAAACGCACACGGCAAGGUGCCACAUUCGCUCAGGGAGUAGCAAGAAAGGUCAGACAGAACAACCGUACAAGCCACCUGUUCACCCCACUCAGCUCAGUCAUCAUCGCGCCGCCCUCUCGUCUACCUCCGCGUUCAGCGUCUCUCGACACAGACAAACGAGAAGAACCAAAGAAAGUUGUUUUGAAUUCCCACACUUCUUUUCGCUCUCACUGUUAUCGGCUUCUGUUCUUCUUCGUGCCUUAUUAUACGCCCCCCCCCUGCACCCACCCAACCCCCUCUCUCACACAAGCUGAGUGCACGUGACACUUCUCAGACGCGCUGAACGGCAACCCCUUUGAGAAACCAGUAUAUACACCAGCUCGCUCUUGCGACCAUUUUUUUUUGGUUGCUGCUUUGUCCGACCUCUCCGUUUUCCCUUUCUCGUCCGCAUCUCUCACCCACCGCGAAGUCCUUGGUAUCUCUCUCGUCUCGACUACAACACCCAAGCGCCCUCUUACACACGUUGUGGGAGGGGGUUUUUCUGGAAGCUGAUCUCUCCCUCUGCCCGUGCUUCUCUCCGUGUUCACCGCCCUCCCCUCCCGCUCUCCUCAUCAUUUUCCACACGAUUAGGGGUGGCUGUACUUCACCUAUUGGCUGUUCUGUGCGUCUCUCUCUCUCUUCGCGCUCUUGUAACGCGAGUUCGUGGUCGUAGGGCUUCCUUUUGGUUCGCUUCACUCCUCGUUUUGUUCCCCAUUCGGGAGAUCGCACUGCUCUCUUAGUUCUGUUUUCGUUGUUUUCUUCAUCUCUUUUUCACCCGCUGCGCCCUUCCCUCCCCUCGGCUCCGAUCUUGAUCUACACAAUCUCAUCUUUUUCCCUUUUUCCUCUUCCGCUUGCUUUGUCUUGUCCAACUGUGACAAGGUCCUCCCUCUCCUCCCUUCUUUGUGUGAACACCUCUCCUCUCCCCCUCUCCCUCUUGGUUGGCCGCUCCUUUCACUCGCCCUCUCUCUUUCUUUGAUUUAAUGUGUGUGUGUGCAUGUGUGUGUGUGUGUUGUGUUCCGUCCCGCUUAUUUGAUCUCUUGUUUUCUGUAUUUUUUUUUCUCUUUUUUGGAUUCGUACGUACAUCUUUCGCUCAGCUUUUUAUCACCCUUUCCCAGUCUCAAGUCACCACGUCGAGCUUCACCUCACAUCUCCCACACACACGACGCCUAUCUCCCACUCCCUUCACUUCAUCAGCGACGCGCACGGACAGAUAUCAUUUUCGUUGUUGCUACUCUCUCCCCGCUUUCACCGCUUCUGCCUCGUCUUGUGUGUGUGCUUGAGCGCGCUGUGAGUUUGCUUGCGUAUUUCGUCUAGCAACAGAGCCUUUCAAGAAGGCAAUCAAGCUGUAUAGCGAGAGCGUGCACAGAGAAGGAGGCAAUUUUUUUUAGGGCAGAGACUACCUGUAUUGCGUGGCACACUGGGAAUAAGGUGUGCUUCUACAUGCGCGGAUACCCUUUCGAACCCUUUCCCUCACCCACACACGUGUUCCUCUUGACGCUCCGCCCCCUUCCCCGCACCACUCAUACACACACGCUUGUCUGGACUUGAUCCCUUUUCAUCCCCUUCUCAUUACCUGCUUUCCUUUGCCGUUCAACCCUUUGCGUCUCCUUGUCCCCUACCCCUCUUUCCGUCGAUCUCGAUUUUUCUGUAGUUGGUGCUCUCGCCUGCAUCUUCGUCAUCCUUUCGCGGAAAGGUCUCUACCCGCUGUUCUCUGCAGUUGGUACGCCGCUGCCGCCCUGUCGCACGGCCGUCGUUUUUUUUUUUCGUUGUUCGCUCUCCAAAACUACCACCACCACCCUCCCUUUUUCGUUUUUCAUUUCCUUUCAUUGGUUCCUCUCCUGAGAGGCGCAGUGUCGCGCGAGUAUCCAACCCCCCUGCGUAGAACGAGGAACGAAGAGGCUUCACAUGCAACAGCAUAGCGAAAGCGAUCUCUUUAGGCCUCCUCUGUUGUAUGCGGGCAUAACCGCUUCUCUCUUUGUUUCUCCAGUUUUGACCUACGCGGUUGCGACAAGUACAGCGAAACACACACAAAAAAAAAAAAACAUAACCAUUUGUGCAGCCUGGGUGCAUCAUCUAUACGCUUGCAUCUACCCUUGGCCGCUCACGCUCGAUUCAAACAAGCUUCUUCUUACUUUCCCCUUUCAUUCGGCGUUUCUGUGUUGUGGUGGGUUCAGUUGGACUGACGGCUCGCCGGGUUCCUCCCACCCCGCCCCUCCUCGCGCUGACCUUCACUGAAAAAAAAAAAUACAGUUGCGAAGGCGCAAAGGGAAAGAAAGGAGGCAAAUCAAAAAAAGUCCAACGGAAAAAGGUAAAACAAACGGCUUACAGUCAUUAAGGCACCGUCGGACAUCACGUCCUGCGAGUUCAACAAUCCGGUCCCCACCUCAAACGCACCGCCGAUCUUUCACCGCGGCACAUCCAUAACACAAGCGUGUUUCUUUCUCUGCCAUUUAGUCGUGUGUGUGUGUGUGCUUCACAAUUGUGCUGAGUGUUUUGUCUUUUGUCUUCCUGUACGUGGGCUCUUUCCCCCUCCCUUCCUCCCUCCCUCCUCCUCCAUUUCGUGCACGGAUUAUUCUCUUAUCUGGCCCUUUGAGCGCACUGUCUCUCUUUUUCUUCGCCUAUUAUCAUUUUCUUUCAGCUUAUUGGUCUUUGUUCUUUUUUUCAUUGCGCGCUCUGUGUGUGUGUGCGUGUGUGUUCUGUGUUUUCUUCUCUUCUUUGCGCUCUUUCGUCAUCGUUUCUUUUCAAUCUUGUUACCUGUUUUAGUCCCCCUUCCUCCUCAUUUUUCUGACUCUUUUCCCAAUCAAAUUUUUUUUGUGUUGCUGUUCUUGACCUAUUCGCCCUCUGACCGCUCUUGGCUGCACCAUCACAAUUUUACUUUCUGGUUAUAUUUUUUUUUGCAAUUUCUUGUAAUUUCAUCAGUAGUGCUUCUCUUUCUGAAUUGUCUCUUUUUUUUUCGCGUGUGUGUGUGUCUUGGCCUGUGCCUGUGUGCAUGAGUAGAUCUGUCAGCGAUACCCUCUUCUCCGCUCCAACCCCCCUCUCCCCUUCAUUCCACAAUUCCUCACCCGUAGUACUUUCUUUGUGCUCGUCUUCCCGUCUUCUGUGCUACUUCUCUUUUUAACCCCCUGCUCCUCUUUUUGUUUCUCUGACUCGUGUGCUAACACUUUUCUCAAAAAAAAAACGUUGUUUUUUUUUCUUGUUUCGCUUGUUGAGCUCUUGUUCUGUGUGUGCGUGUGUGCCUGUAUUCCUCCACAUCUAGAUAGACUAGCACAGCCGGUACCAAAACCUUUUUCUCCCGCUAGCAAGGAUAUCUGUUUCGACAAGCUACGUAUACCACGCAAAGGCGUCUAUACAACCGAUUUCAUCUCUUUUUGAUUUUCUAUCAUAGCUCGCUUUAUUGCCUGUGUGUGUGAGUGUGUGUGCGCGCCUCAGCGCAUACCCUUUAUACAUAGGUGUGGGAGUGCUAAGUUGCGUUUUUGUGUCGCACCCCUGUCCUUGUGUCGAUUUACCGCUUUAUUUGCUGUCUUUGGUUCGUUGUUGAUCUGACCUGUGCCUUUUUCAUUCUGCUCUUGCUCUCUUUUUUGUUGUUCUUAGUCACGCGCGUCUACACGUUUACUGGGCAUUCCGUCUCAGAGUGUCUCACCCUUCACGCGUGUGUGUCUCCGCGGCUGGUGUGCUUCAUUUUUGUUGCCCUGUUAUUAUUAUGAUCGGCUGUUUCUAUAAGUAGCUUCUAGCCUUGGAUCUACGCACAAUCUCCUCCAUCUGUCUUCAUCUUGCGCCUUUUAUUAUUCCUUUCGCCGCCCAAUCUCUUUUUCGUUCUCCUUGUUGCUCUCCGUGUGUGUGUGUGUGCGUGCGUUUGUCUGUGCGCUUUUCGUUCGCUUUUUUUUCAUCUUUGUGCUUUACCUCUCUACGUGUGGGUCCACGACUUCUGCCCUCCCCCUCCCCUCCUCGGAGUGUCUUCUUUUUCUGCUCCCCGCCAACCCCUUUUCAGCUUUCGUUUUCUUUUUGUUCUGUUUCGUUGUACUCCUGCCCGUUUGGAGCGAGUGCGCAGUCGUCCAGUCGUUCAGUGAUUCCUCUGUGUCUUCAUUGCCACCUGACGCGCAUCUGCGCUAGCGUUGACCUUUUCUCCCGUUCACUUUGUUACGCUCGUAUUGCUGCGCUCUACUCGUUUUUUUUUUGUUCGGCGUCUUCAUUUCACUUUGGGUUCGCUUCUCUCGUCGCUUUGCUUGUGUGUGUGCGUGUGUGCGUGUGCGUGUGUGUUUUCGAGCCAUCUAUCGCGUCUUGUGUUCGGUCGUUUUAUCGCCCCUCUCUACCUCACUCUCUUGGCCCUUUCCUUUCUUUUGCUGUUGGUGUUUCCCCUCUCCCCCUUCCUGCCUGUUACGAUAUUAGCAGGCGCCCGCUGAACGGAUUGUGUCACUCUUUUUUUUUGUGAUUAAGUCUCCAUGUCAGGCAUGUAUCACGGCGUGUCUACGCCGCCGCAACAUCCCCAAAUGGCGUCCAUCGUGUACGUGCCAAGCUCUCAACCAAAUCCAGUGGCGUACUACGCCGCGGAGCCGGUCAUGAAUCCGCAGUCUAUACAACAACUCCCGCAACAUCAAGUUUCGCUCGUGUACCCAGACACCCCGGCCCAGCAGCGUAUGCAAGCACCACAGCAGCAGGUGGUCAUCCCUGAGAGCUUUGCUACCGAGGCGACCCCCUUCUACGCUUACCAGCCGGCGCGGCACGAAACGAGCGUCAACACCAGCAACCUAGUCUGCCUCGUUCCCACGGUCACCGCUAACAACUCGCCGCAGAUGCCCAUGCUGAUUCAGUCGCUGGGCUCUAGAUCCAUCAGCUUUCAUGCCGACCCUGCCUUGCGUACUCAGGAAACGCACGCUACACCACAGGCGAUGCAGCAGGUGCUGACACCAGACUACAUGCAGGUCGCGAUGGAGACGCCCGUGCCUCUGUCGCAGUCCGCGAUCGACCCAGCCCCCAAGACAAACGUGAUGAACUCUUCUGAGGUGUGCCGUCACUACAUCAAUGGCCGCUGCAACCGCCGAAAGUGUCGUUUUCUUCACCCUGACCUGCGUAGCCCAGUCAUGCCCUCCCAUGCGACCUGUACGCCUUGCGAUUCAGCACCGAUCAUGAAAAAUCCGUCGUUCGCCCAAGUUUCUCCGUUGACGCCAUACUCCAGCCUUUCAACAGCUUCGCUGAAUAGCUUCAGUGUUCCCCCUUCCACUCAGUGGGAAACCAUCCUGUGGUGAGCAACAGCCGCAAAAAGUGUAAGAUGCGGUAUGCUGUGUGUGUGUGUGUGUGAAUGAUUAGGUCGUGCUUUUAGCAAGGAAAAUCGAGCAGCAACAAGAAAAGAAAGCCGCAUAUCCGCGAUGGAGAAACGUUCGAAUCCAUUUUUUUUUGUUUCGUUAGGCGUGAAAAGCCCCUCCUCCUCGGAAAAAAUGCAGAAGGAGGUUCAGCUGAGAAGAAAGAGGGGACACGCAAGAAGUGGCAGGCAGUGAACGGCCGCGGCGGCCAAAUUCCAGGCUAUGUGAAGUCGUGCUGGUUUGCCGCACCUCCAGCGUCGAUGCGGAUGCGCGAGGUUGAUCGUAUGACUUUUCCUCACUGCCCCGCUGAAGGACUGCCGAUCUGCCGCGCCUCCUCUCGCUUCUGCCGUCCUGCGAUGCUCGUCCCUUUCCCUUUCACUUUCGACAUUUUAUGUUUCUUAUUCUCUGCCAUUUGUGUGGUUAUUUACUUCUUUGAGUCACCGUUGCUCUGCUUUUCACUGCGCUCCGCGGUAAAGUGUGCUUAUUCAUGUUCCCUCUUCUCUGAACCCCCCCCCGCAACUGUUGACCGGCUGCCUUUGAAGAGAGUGUGGAUGCCAUAAGCACACAUGUGUGGCGGAGUUCGUUUUUUUUUGUGUUCUAUGUGUGUGUUACAGUUUGAGUGUUGGGUGAUGACGCUGAGGGCACUUAUGACAGGUCAUCUGAAUAUGUGCUUGUGAUGCUAUCACGGCAUCAUCUCGUCAACUCACCGACCCCCUUUUUCAUGCGCUGUUGGUUUGCUGUCUCUCACGCAUACGCAUUUUCUUUUUCCACUUCAACUGCUUCUUUUCGUUCUUCUCGCUUUAUUAUGUCUGGAUCCGUCGAACUGCGCAUGUAUAUGAGGGGCGACAGCUUUCACGUAAUGAUUGCCUAUGCAUGUGUGUAAGCUCACCUGCGGUUCUCCCUUUGCCCUUGUGGGCCUCCGUCUUUUACUGUGUCGCGUCCAUCUCACCCUUUGAUGACGGGAGGGGGCAAACACACCCCGGUGUGAGGUGUCCCGGAUCCAGUAGCCUCCUUCACCCUCUGUGUGCAUGGGAAGAGGCCAAGCAGCCCCUCCUCCAUCCCCUGCCAAUGCAGCGCUGCACUUCCUCUGGUGCUGACAGGGUCCACGUGCCCACGACGUAGGGAAGCCAGUGCGCUGCAUCGCGACGGAUGUCGGCGGUGUGUCAGGUCCUGGAUGGCGUUGCGUCGGAGCGGCCUGCGGCAGUGCCGACGCGUCUGCGCGGCUCCAGCGCAUCCGUCACCCGGCCCUCACCACCGCCUGCUGGUGUGGGGAGCCUGAGCGCCACCCCCUCCCUCUCCGAGGAGGGAUGCCGCAGGUGGCGGCCGGCAUGAUGGGAGCGGCUGUGAGGCGGCCUGCGAGGCAGCGGGGGGGCGGGAGGAGGUCGGUGGAGCUUGAGGCAGGGGGGCCGUGCUCUCGGAUGGCUGAGUCGGCGCGUUGCCGCAAAGCGUGUGUGCCGCGCUGCGUCGCAGGACUCGGUGAGGCCUGUGGCCGGCCAGAGGGCGUGUGUGUGUGUGUGUGUGUGGAGUGGCGUUGACGUCAUGGCUGGUGGCAGAGACACGGACGCGUUGACGGAUAAGAAAAACGCUUCUAAUGCGUCAGCCCUCAUGGCUCUAGACAUACCUUCUCUCUUUUUUCGCGUGCCUUUUUUUUGAUUUUUUUUGUUUGUCUGAGGCAUUGUUGUUGUUUUUAAGUGGUGGCGUGGCGGCCUUUUUGGCUUAUAUAUAAACGAUGAUGAGAAUUACUUCAUUUAUUUGUCUCACCCUCUUAAUUUCUCUUGCCGUAGAGGACUCGUGUGCUCUUGACGCCGCGCCGCCACCGAUAUCACCGCUGUUGUCGGUUUUUGUGCUGUUUUGUCGUUGUCGAUUUCUUUUUUCUUUUCGCGGCUCCUGUGCCUGUGAGAUCUGUGGCUAUGUGCGCAGUGUUGCACAGGGACUGUUCUCUCUCUGUCUGUUACCGUUGUGAGGGUGCUGCUGACAUGUUCGGCGGCGGUGGGUAGGACCUUUACAUGCAUCUUGAAACGACUCUUUCGUGAUUGUAUUUGUGUGUGCGCCGCUUAGUAUCUUCGUCGUGAGCACCACAGGAGUCAAUCACUCUCUUUCUGCUUGAGUGUUGCAUUUAUAGGAACGGACGCAGUCAAGUGCAUGCUGGUUGACAAACUUCACCAUCCCUCUCUCUUCUCAUGCCGCGGCCGCCGUCGCCCCUCUCACUUGCAGCGCUCGUUGUGCUCAUGGAAGAUGGCGAUUUUGUGGCACGCGAUGGAGUAUGUUGGCCAGAGGAUCAGAAAAAAAUUAACGAACGGUAAUGAGAUCGACUGGAAGAAAGCAUGGAAACCCCCCGAGAAUCAGAGGCGAGUCGUGUGUGUGUGUGUGUGUGUGCACUCUCCCUUUUGAAUGCUUUCGGGAAUGGUCUUCUCUUAUAUGAUUUUUGUGUGGACGUGGGGUGAAGCUGGAACAUACCGAAGCAAAAAGAGAGGAGAGGUGCAAGCGGCUGCAUUCGCGAUACGAUUUCCCUCCUCGACCGUUUUUUUUUGUGCUUCUCUUUACCGAUCUGUGCAUCAUUGAUGGGGAUUUUUUGCUUCUUGUUUCACGUCUUCGAGCGCCCUUCUCCCGCCCCUGAUGGAACUACACCACCUGCUACCCUCAUGACUGCGUCCCUGUCCCAUUCCAUCUGUGCCUUCACCCGCUUGUGGGUUCGCUCACAAGUGCACACACAGAGUAUUCAGUGUGCCAACCUCCGCACAUUUCUCUUUUAGUUCAUCGAUCGUCUCUUCCGUGUCUCGCGAGCGCGGCAGUUCUUUUUUUCCGCCUUUUUUAUUGUUCUUUUGCUGUUUGUCGUGUUGCGUGCUGUGGUGCAACUGUAUGAUGGGCAGCAUCGACCGCAAAAAAGCGUUCAUUGCUUUUCCAGAGCGGUGCUUUCUCUCUCUCCGAUCAAACCUCAUCCCCCCUGUUUCUCCCUCCAUCCCUAUCCCCAUCAGAGACGGAGACGAGUUUGAACUCAUUUAUGAAACUGAGUCGAAGAGGUACGGAAGGUUUGCGCCACCAAGAACGGGAGUGUGUGUGUACCCUUUUCUCUGUUAUCGCUUCGCUUGUUAUUUGCCUUUGUUUUUGUUGUUUUCUGGCGCUGUGGGCUACCAUUGUACCCUCCGUCAAGCUUGAAAGAGCAUCCUAGAUGCUUUCCCUGUGUGGCAGUGACCCUCUCUCGAAGCCGCUGCAGUCACACUCACGCUUCACCCAACGCAAUAAUCCACCAACCCAAACCCUCGUUUUCUCGUGUGUUGUUGUACUCCCCUCCUAGCGGUCAAUUCGCACCGCCGCGGUGACUUUGUCCGUUGAUUAAAUCCUGUGUCACGGAAACGUGGGAACAACUCUCUGUGCCUCUUGAGUUUUUGUUUUGAAUAGUCUCCUCCACACAAGCCACGCAGCACUGGUUACUCUCUACCGCGACGUGGUGAGGCAGGAAAAGAGGAGGGUGUACACCUUGCUCAAAGCCGUUCGUCAUAGCCGCUGCGUCGCAUUGUCACCAACAGGCACGCGCGCAUUAUGUUCUUUUUUCUUUUCAAGGCUGCUUGCUUGCUCUCUUUUUUUUUUCGAAUAGUGUGUAUGUGUGUGUGUGGCAUUCUGCUUAGAUACGAACACAUAUAUAUAUAUAUCAAAAAGCUGCUUGGAUUACGUGAAUCAAAGGACUCUCUCCUUCUCUUUCGCAUUUUACCUCCAUCAAAAACCGACUCUUCAUGUGUUUUUUCUCUCCUAAUUCUUCGUGAUGCUUUUUCUUGUGUGUCUGUGCAUGUGUGCUUGAUUGUUUCAGUGCGUUCAUGCUUUCCUCUCACCUUCUUUCUAAAUAUCCAGUAGUUCUCGCUUCGUCUCCAUCAAUACUCUCACCAAACGCACGCAUGCACAGAAAAAAAUAAAAACAAUGGCGCCCGCUGUGGAGAUGGGCUGAUUGCAAUCGAAAGAUAGAGAGAGAAGUAAAAUGGCCUGUGAGAGGACACGGAGCAACGAGAGCGGAGAAGAGCCUCAGCGUGAAGAGUGGCACUUGGAUGAAAAGGGACGAAUGACAGUUUUUCUUUGUGUGUCUCGCACAUGUGAGCGUCUCCUAUUACGUCUAUUGUGUCUGGUGCCUGUGUCUGGAGAGAAGGGAGUACUCACGAUAGCACCGUUCACUAAACAUUACCCACUGUCUGCCUAUCUUGUCUUCUGUUUUCGUUUUACGAUUUUCAUUUUCUUUGCUUCCUUUAUUUAUUGGUCUAUUGUUGACCGCCUCUUGUCGGCGUAGAUGCGAUGGUCCCUCACGUGUCUCAUCGUGUGCUCUGUGGACGCCUUUUUUCAUGCCUUACACGCGAAGGGGGAGGUACGUGUACUGUGUGUGCUUUGUGGAGAGUUGUUUGGGGUGCUUCGGCACCUGAACACAGCGGGAAACGGUCGAAGUUCCGUCAACCUUUCUCCUCAAAAACGCACAAGAGAGUAACGAUAAAGGGUAUGCGUGCAGAAGGCUGCUCAACUUUCCCUCACUGUUGCUGUUUGUCUGCCAGCUUUUCGUUCUCCGGUCACCUCUUUGUGUUCUCACUUCUCGCGCCCUCUUCGUGUGCCAAGAAUCCACACUCUUACCACACGAUUGACAGGAGAAAGCACUGGCCACUCAUCAUACAAAGAGAGC
rnacentral:misc_RNA from 1 species